CCUACGGGUGGCAGCAGUCGAGAAUCAUUGACAAUGGGGGAAAGCCUGAAGCUGCGACGCCGCGUGGGGGAAUGAAGGUCUUCGGAUUGUAAACCCCUGUAAUGUGGGAGCAAAGUAAGAAGCUCGUACCACAAGAGGAAGAGCCGGCUAAAUAUGUGCCAGCAGACGCGGUAAUACAGACGUCUCAAGGGUUGUUCGGAUUCACUGGGCGUGAAGCGUGCGUAGGCUGUUUUGUAAGACGUGUGUGAAACGCGCGGGCGCAAACCGCGGACGGCAGAUGAUACUGCGAAACUAGAGUAGGGGAGGGGGAAGCGGAAUGCGUGGUGUAGCAGUGAAAUGCGUAGAUAUCGAGAAGAACACUCGUGGCGAAGGCAGGUUCCUGGACAUUGACUGACGCUGAGGCACGAAGGCCAGGGGAGCGAAAGGGAUUAGAUACCCUUGUAGUC
rnacentral:rRNA from 1 species